GUAGGUGGCAAGCGUUGUCCGGAAUUAUUGGGCGUAAAGCGCGCGCAGGUGGUUCUUUAAGUCUGAUGUGAAAGCCCCCGGGCUCAACCGGGGAGGGUCAUUGGAAACUGGGGAACUUGAGUGCAGGAGAGGAAAGUGGAAUUCCACGUGUAGCGGUGAAAUGCGUAGAUAUGUGGAGGAACACCAGUGGCGAAGGCGACUUUCUGGCCUGUAACUGGCACUGAGGCGCGAAAGCGUGGGGAGCAAACAGGAUUAGAUACCCUGGUAGUCCACGCCGUAAACGAUGAGUGCUAAGUGUUGGGGGGUUUCCGCCCCUCAGUGCUGCAGCUAACGCAUUAAGCACUCCGCCUGGGGAGUACGGUCGCAAAGACUG
rnacentral:rRNA from 1 species